UCUGCCCCUAGCAGCACUGUAGGUGUGCUGCUGUGUCACAUGUGCAUCAGUAGGUGGCAGAGAGGAGAGAGUCUAUGCCUAUGUUCAGUGUUCUGAUCUACAACAUCUGAAUGAUUAGUAGCCUAACACU